AUUCUGUCUGCGGUAAUCAAACCGUACUGAUGAGCUGUACUAGCAGCGAAACAGAAU
rnacentral:hammerhead_ribozyme from 1 species